AGCAGCCGCGGUAAUUCCAGCUCCAAUAGCGUAUAUUAAAGUUGUUGCAGUUAAAAAGCUCGUAGUUGAAUUUCGAGAUCAAUUUUCUUGGUCAUACCUUUGUAUGUACUGGUCUUAUUGAUUUCUCCCUUCUGAUGAACCAUGAUGUCAUUAAUUUGGUGUUAUGGGGAAUCAGGACUAUUACUUUGAAAAAUUAGUGUGUUUAAAGCAGGCUCACGCUUGAAUACAUUAGCAUGGAAUAAUGAAAUAGGACGUUUGAUUCUAUUUUGUUGGUUUCUAGGAUUGACGUAAUGAUUAAUAGGGAUAGUUGGGGGCAUUAGUAUUCAAUUGUCAGAGGUGAAAUUCUUGGAUUUAUUGAAGACUAACUACUGCGAAAGCAUUUGCCAAAGAUGUUUUCAUUAAUCAAGAACGAAAGUUAGGGGAUCGAAGACGAUCAGAUACCGUCGUAGU
rnacentral:rRNA from 1 species